AAAAUCCGUCGACUUUAAAAAUCGUGAGGGUUCAAGUCCCNCUAUCCCCA
rnacentral:tRNA from 1 species